rnacentral:rRNA from 1 species
CCCUUUAGUAACUGCGAGUGAAGUGGGAAAAGCUCAAAUUUAAAAUCUGGCAGUCUGAUUUUUCAUCUUUGGCUGUCCGAGUUGUAAUCUAGAGAAGUGCUACCUGUGCUGGACCAUGUAUAAGUCUCCUGGGAUGGAGCGUCAYAGAGGGUGAGAAUCCCGUCUUUGACAUGGACUCCCGGUGCGUUGUGGUAUACUUUCAAAGAGUCGAGUUGUUUGGGAAUGCAGCUCUAAAUGGGUGGUAAACUCCAUCUAAAGCUAAAUAUUGGCGAGAGACCGAUAGUGAACAAGUACCGUGAGGGAAAGAUGAAAAGUACUUUGGAAAGAGAGUUAAACAGUAUGUGAAAUUGUUGAAAGGGAAACACUUGAUGUCAGUUGUGUUAGCUAGGGAUCAACCGAGCUCUUUUGCUAGGUGAAUUUCCUGGUCUGACAGGCCAACAUCAGUUUUGACUGCUGGAAAAAGGYGGGAGGAAUGUGGCACCUUUSGGUGUGUUAUAGCUUUCUGUCAAAUGCAGCAGUUGGGACUGAGGGAUGCNNCGUGCCGCNAGGCUUGGGUUUCGACCACGU